CCAAAAGACUUGCAACAUAACAGAGGCAAUGUUUGACGGCAAUUGGUUCCAUUCGCGGAUUGUUCUAGGAAAAAAAGACAAUCGAAAUAAAUCAGUCUUGCAUGCGAUUUCCCGUACCUUGAACAUAUGAUCAACUCUGUCUGAGACAUAGUGAGGUGCAAGCAAAUAUUUUGUAUUUUCAAUCCCGACACGACCAUGG
rnacentral:lncRNA from 1 species